AGAAUGGCUGCCGCGAGACUCUGAGUGCCACCUCUGCAUGUCCGUGACCACCCAGGCCGGGAACAGCAGCGAGCAGGCCAUACCACAGGCAAUGCUCCAGGCCUGUGUUGGCUCCUGGCUGGACAGGGAAAAGUGCAAGCAAUUUGUGGAGCAGCACACGCCCCAGCUGCUGACCCUGGUGCCCAGGGGCUGGGAUGCCCACACCACCUGCCAGGCCCUCGGGGUGUGUGGGACCAUGUCCAGCCCUCUCCAGUGUAUCCACAGCCCCGACCUUUGAUGAGAACUCAGCUGUCCAGGUGAGUCCAGGCCCCCAGUUGCGGGGAGGUAAGGGGGCAGGUCCUGACCAUCAGGGCAUGGGAGGCCCUUCUGCUCCCCAAGCAGGAAGAGGCGGCCACUCCUGCCGGCUGCUCCAUCCUCCCUCUCACCGCACAGCUGGAGGCUCCUGAGGGCUUCUGGCUGGCCAUCAGGAAAACACCCUUUCCGGACCCCGAGCACUGCCCCGCCCAGAACCCCAGUCACUGAGUGCCCAACC
rnacentral:lncRNA from 1 species